UUUUGAAAUGGGCAAAAAUGUAAUUUCCAAUCUCAUUAAUGGGUAUUCCCCCCAAUAUGGGGGGAAUGACUUAUGCCUUUGGGGAAGGUAAUGAAUACCCCUAGCCUUCAAUGAUUACAUGCACAAAAGAACAUCCAAACAAGGGGGAAGGAAUGUGUAAUCAAUGAUUACCCUACCAAGGCUAAUCAUUGAUGUCAUCCAAACACAAGGGUACGUUUGGGAGCUGGAUUCAUCCCUUGGGAGUGGGAAUGGGAUGCACCCAUGUGGUUUAAACCCUUGUUUGGCAACCAGGGAAGGAAUGAGUAAAGGGUUAGCAUGGUAAUGGGAAGGCUGCAUGUGGGGUCUUCCUAAUCCUGUCAAAAUUGAGGGGAGUUGGACUCCUGAGUUGUAUGAUGACUAUUUUGCCCUUACUUUUGAAAAAAUUUCCACCUUUUUCUUUCUCUUUUCCCAUUGCCUUUGUUUUUCCUCUUUUCCCAUUGGAGAUCCAGCUUCCAUUGUCCCUCAUCUCCGAGCUUCAGAUCCAUCGCCGACGCCGACACCGACGCCAAUUUCGUCCUUUCUCCCUCCCUUCCUCUCUGAUUUGGCCUCGGACAUUUAACCAGGAUGGAUCAAGAAUCACAACAAAGGGGUAGAGGUAUAAACAAACACUAGUGGACUACAUAAGAAGAUAAGGCCUUGAUUGAAGCUCUAGUUGAGUUAUCGACAAAUACACUGUGGCGAGCUGAGAAAGGAUUCAGAAAUGGUUAUUUACAUCAAUUAGAGAAAAUGAUAAAAGAUAGAUUUCCGUAUACUACAUUGAUGGCUGCGCCAAAUAUAGAGUCGCGGGUGAAACUUUUUAGAACCAAAACUACAGCAAUUGCAGAUAUACUUUCAAUCAGUGGCUUUCCUUGGAACAAUGAGCACAGUACCAUUGAAUGUGAGAAAAGUGCAUAUAAUGAAUAUGUUAAGAUUCAUAAAGAAGAUGCGGGACUUUAUGGUAAGUCAUUUCCAUUUUUUAAUGAUCUCACUCCAGUCUUCACAAAGGAUAGGGCACAAGGCAAUGCAAGGGGUGACCUUGGAGAUGAUGUUGACCAAUAAAUGCAUGAAAACAUUAGCUUGGACGAUAAUGCCAGUUUCUCUCAAUUUCAUAUGGAAGAUGUUUUCAUGCCCACAGAUGAACAUGCAGAGCCUCCAUCACCUAUAACUUCAGAUAAUGGCGCCUCAAGCUCUAUUGCCCAAAAGAAGAAAAAAUGCGCUAAAGAAUCGAAUAUCGCAUCAAUUUCAGAAAUUUUCACCAUUUUGUGGAUUUGGUGGACCCAGGCUUCAAAGCAAUGGCUGAAUGUGUUGUUCGAAAUGCCGAUGCUAAUGCGCUUAGGGAAGCAGCUCAUAAGGAAGUUCAAGAGAAAAAGAAGCUAUUGAAUCAAGUUAUCUUCAACAUUGAUGGCCUAUCCAAAGAUGAGGCAUUAGUGGUAAUGCAAUCUUUAAGAAAAGACGAGGAAAAGCUUAAUAUGUUUUGGAAUUUGCCCGAUGACAAAAAACUACGUUUUUGUCGCCUACUUCUAGGAGGAAGGGACACAAUGUAGAAGAGGCAAUCAUGUCCAUGCCCGAGCCAUACCAUGACGAAACUUCAACUUUGCUUGUUAUGUUCAAUGAAAAAAUGUUUAUCUUAUGAAUGGUUGUAAGAUUACCAAAACUAUUAUGUUGUAUUUUAUUAGUACUAUGU